rnacentral:rRNA from 1 species
UACGUAGGGCGCAAGCGUUGUCCGGAAUUAUUGGGCGUAAAGAGCUCGUAGGCGGUUUGUCGCGUCUGCCGUGAAAGCCUGGGGCUUAACCCUGGGUCUGCGGUGGAUACGGGCAGGCUAGAGGCAGGUAGGGGAGAACGGAAUUCCCGGUGUAGCGGUGAAAUGCGCAGAUAUCGGGAGGAACACCGGUGGCGAAGGCGGUUCUCUGGGCCUGUACUGACGCUGAGGAGCGAAAGCGUGGGGAGCGAACAGG